rnacentral:rRNA from 1 species
GACGUAGGGCGCGAGCGUUGUCCGGACUUAUUGGGCGUAAAGAGCUCGUAGGCGGCUUGUCGCGUCGAAUGUGAAAACUCGGGGCUCAACUCCGAGCUUGCAUUCGAUACGGGCAGGCUAGAGUUCGGUAGGGGAGACUGGAAUUCCUGGUGUAGCGGUGAAAUGCGCAGAUAUCAGGAGGAACACCGGUGGCGAAGGCGGGUCUCUGGGCCGUAACUGACGCUGAGGAGCGAAAGCAUGGGGAGCGAACAGG